CGUGCUGGUAAUCUAUCACUGCCUCCAAAUCCUUCCACACCAAUAUGCUCUCUUGCGGAUCUCAUUCAUCGACAACCUACUCCGCUUUUCUCUGUACCGGCCACCGGUCUAACUCCUCACCAUUGCGACAUCAUCAAAAACCCUAAAUCCCCUUUCAUAUUAAAGCCACAUGUCCGGUUGCUUCCUGAUUCCGAUUGUUGAUAGAAGUAUCUGAAAGUUCGGGAUCGGAUUUCGAGUUAUUCACUGAUCAUCGCGCUAUUAACUAUUUAAGUUUAGCAUCGAUUCAUGCUUCACGUCCGGCUAGAAGUCUUCGCUUCCUGAGGAAAACCUCCGAUUUAUCCCCACCUCAGCUCAUCGACAUGGAAGAAACCACCUUCUCCUUCUCUUUCUCAGGUAUCGUCGAUCAAUUGGACCCUCUGUAUAACCAAUUGCUCUGCUCCUACAUUCGAAUGGGAGGUUGAAGGUACCCAUGUCACCAUAAUGUUACAGGUUUCAUAUUACAAGUAAUAUUUUUUUUUAUCUGGUAAUUUUAUGCAGUUUUUGAUGUAUGUGUUCUUUGAGUUGGUAGGGAUACCAUUUACUUACUUUGGUUUCCCAUGUUUUCAUGCUUGCAUCUACAGUUCCGUUCCUAUGGUCCAAUGUGUAACCUUUUUAUAAAAGAGACCUGUUUUGCUCACAGGAGAGGUAAGUGUUUCAAUUAAAUUUAAACUUAUAGCAAUGAAUAUGUUUUAUUAAUAUUUACAAAAAAAAAAAAUAAAAAAAAGUUGACAAAAUUGAGAAAUCCAAUGCAUGUCACAUUCCUCGGAUCUUAUCCUUGGUGUUUGUGGUACCUUAUUUGGCUGAAAUUGAUUUUCUGUUACAAACACACACACAGUACCAACCACUGUUUGCCUCGACUUGCAGAGAGAGAAAAAGGAUGAUUUGAAGAAAGUAGUUGCCUUACAUUGACAAACACAGAUUGAAGAAUUCAAAAGAAAGUUGUUGGUGAUGAAGCAUUUUAAAAGUAAAAAUUACAUGUUUGACUAUUUACUUAACCAACCUAUUUACCAUUUUGCUUAAAGAAAAUACAGAUUAUUGUUUUUUUAAACAAGAUACUAUUUAAUAUUUAUGUUAUAAAAUGAAAAUAAAAAUUGUAACUUGCAUGUAAUUCAAUUCCUUAUAUAAUUAUCUUUCAACUUAGAGCUUCAUCAUAUAGGAUUCUUGAGUUUACACCUUAGUGCUAGACCAUCUUUAUACCCAUGACAAUUUUUUUUGUUUUAUUUUACUUAAAGAAAAAAAAAGAACAUAUAAAAUAAUAAUAUUAAUUCCAGAUUGUAUUAUUUUAGUAAAAAGAUCCGGUUAGAUACCAACAAAACCAAAAGGAAGAAGUUAUUAGUCAUGGUGAUUCAUAGGAAAGAAAAUCAAUAAAAAUUAUAUUAGCUGGUGUUGAAUAUGAAGUUUGGCUUUUUCUAUGCAGGAAUAUGAGUCAAACAAGUGGAGAAACAGAUACUUCUUUUUCUAAUAACUUCGUAUAAUAAUAUUUGGUUGUUUUUUCUUUUUUUAGUAAAAGGUGAAAGAAUAUGAGAUUAUUUUAAAUUUUGGUCUAAACUAAGCCUCUGUUUUAUGUAUCUAUCAAUUUUGGUCUCUGUUUCAUGGUUUCAUAAUCCCCUUUUGUUUUGAAGGCCAACACUUACUUUACUAGGCUUUGUCUAUUUAGAUGAAAAUUGCAAAAAAGAAAUGACCCUGUAGAUUUGUGUGACAACAAUUAAUUAAUUAAAGUACGGUAAAACAAGGGUAAAAUGGUAAAUCGAUAAUAUAUAUAUAUAUAUAUAUAUAUAUAUAUAUAUAUAUAUAUAUAUAUAUAUAUAUAUAUUGAUUUGUGACGAGUCAAAGGUUUUGUCCAAAACCCGGAGGAAAAUAGGAUGUCUAGAUGUAACAAAAUUACAAAUAGUUAUCAAUUGCCAAAUUUGUUGAUGUUUAUAAUAUAUAUACAAAAAGAUUUUUAUAGUGUUUGGUUUAACUUGCUUUUUUAUCCAUAUAAUUAGAAUGCUUGUUGGAGGUUUGAUUACAAGUGUAUGUUCAAAAGGGAUGGUAUAGGGACAAUGGACGAAUUUACCCUUGAUAACCAAACGGGAUGGAUGAAUUGAAAUACGAGAUGGUAGGAUCCUAAUUCCCACAACUCACCCUCUGUAAUCUUCUUUAUUUUCAUUCAUAUCCUUAUUCUUUCAUUUAUGUUGAUUUAAGUCCUUAUACUCUUAAGCUUACAUGAACAAUCGGAUGGAUUCAUGGCUCGGUAAUAGAAAAAGAAUCCUGGUAUUGAACAGAGAAGACAUGAUAUCCAUCUACUGACUGGAAUGCUUGGGCUGAUUAUUAUGGCAAACAAGAUAUAAAGGUCUGACAGCUUUGGAUAGUAUACAAUCGUAUUCUCUUUGUUCAUUCUAUCUUAUUUCUUUGAAAAACCAAGAGAAAUAAGGAUUAUUUGCUAUUUUUACGAAAAAAUAUAGGGAACCAUGGAAAGGAAUCAAAAAUUCCAAUUCUGUCAUAUUCCCUUAGAAUCCGUGAACCAAACACGCUCUUAGCGAAUUUUCUAUUUUUGAAAUUUCACUCUUAAUAAAAUUUUCUAUUUUAUUUA